UGGGGAAUCUUCCGCAAUGGGCGAAAGCCUGACGGAGCAACGCCGCGUGAGUGACGACAGCCUUCGGGUUGUAAAACUCUGUGAUCCGGGACGAAAGGGCAGGCUGCGAAUAACAGCCUGGAUUGACGGUACCGGAAAAGCAAGCCACGGCUAACUACGUGCCAGCAGCCGCGGUAAUACGUAGGUGGCAAGCGUUGUCCGGAAUUAUUGGGCGUAAAGGGCGCGCAGGCGGCUCCCCAAGUCCCUCUUAAAAGUGCGGGGCUUAACCCCGUGAGGGGAAGGAAACUGGGGAGCUGGAGUAUCGGAGAGGAAAGUGGAAUUCCUAGUGUAGCGGUGAAAUGCGUAGAGAUUAGGAAGAACACCGGUGGCGAAGGCGACUUUCUGGACGAAAACUGACGCUGAGGCGCGAAAGCGUGGGGAGCAAACA
rnacentral:rRNA from 1 species